CAGUCGCCGCGGGAAUACAGAGGGUGCGAGCGUUAAUCGGAUUUACUGGGCGUAAAGCGUGCGUAGGCGGCUUCUUAAGUCGGAUGUGAAAUCCCUGAGCUUAACUUAGGAAUUGCAUUCGAUACUGGGAAGCUAGAGUAUGGGAGAGGAUGGUAGAAUUCCAGGUGUAGCGGUGAAAUGCGUAGAGAUCUGGAGGAAUACCGAUGGCGAAGGCAGCCAUCUGGCCUAAUACUGACGCUGAGGUACGAAAGCAUGGGGAGCAAACAGGAUUAGAUACCCCGUAGUCCCUGUCUCUUAUACC
rnacentral:rRNA from 1 species